UACGGAGGGUGCAAGCGUUAUCCGGAAUCAUUGGGUUUAAAGGGUCCGCAGGCGGAUUUAUAAGUCAGUGGUGAAAGCUCUCAGCUUAACUGAGAAACUGCCAUUGAUACUGUAAGUCUUGAAUGUGGUCGAAGUGGGCGGAAUAUGACAUGUAGCGGUGAAAUGCAUAGAUAUGUCAUAGAACACCGAUAGCGAAGGCAGCUCACUAGGCCAUUAUUGACGCUCAUGGACGAAAGCGUGGGGAGCAAACAGG
rnacentral:rRNA from 1 species